CAUCGUGAGGUGGAAUCUGAUGGAAGCUGGAGGUGGAAUUCCGAACCAAGGAACACGAACAUCAUGAGGCAUAGGAUAUGGGAUGAGUUUGCUAUACAAAAACGAAGUCCAAUAAACUACAUGGACUUACCAGUAUAAAUGAUGUGUGUACUAGGUGGGAAAGUAAA
rnacentral:ncRNA from 1 species